rnacentral:miRNA from 1 species
UAGAAGGAGAUUCAUCACAUUCAUCUCUCUCUCUCUCUCUCUCUCUCUCUCUCCUGUGUGUGUGUGUGUGUGUGAGAGAGAGAGAGAGAGAGAGAGAGAGAGAGAGAGAGAGAAGGUAAUGUGAAGAUGGAGGCAGAG